UACGGAGGGUGCAAGCGUUAUCCGGAAUCACUGGGUUUAAAGGGUGCGUAGGUGGCCCGAUAAGUCAGAGGUGAAAGCCCGUCGCUUAACGAUGGAAUUGCCUUUGAUACUGUUGGGCUUGAAAUAGGUUGAGGUAGGCGGAAUGUGACAUGUAGCGGUGAAAUGCAUAGAUAUGUCAUAGAACACCAAUUGCGAAGGCAGCUUACUGGACCUUAUUUGACGCUGAGGCACGAAAGCGUGGGGAUCAAACAGG
rnacentral:rRNA from 1 species